UUUCAUAAUCUGCCACUCACCCCUGCCCUGAGCCCCAGGGAACCAUCGAGAGGCCAUGUGCCUUCCACAACAUACUCAACAAAACAGGAAUUUAAAGCUGGAAGAAAAAUGCAGAGUAUAUAGGCCCAUCCCUCCUCCCACAUACUGACUAGGAGUCUGAGGCCCGGGUGGUGGCAGACCUGGCAGAACAGUGGGUACUCUGCCUUCUUGGCUACAGCUUCCUGGACAGCAGAAGGUCCCUCAGAUAGGGGCUGGUUAGAAAAGGGCAGUGCUCACCCACCCAUCCCUCUUGGGCGAGGCAGGACAGGGAGUCUCCAGGCUUUCACCCCAACCCUGGGCUGUUUCCUGGAUCCUGACACCUCCAGACGUAGACGGCUAGGUCCUUCGUAAUCUGACUUUGUCUGGAAGCUCUGCUGAAACCUGUUCUCCAUGGGUGACCCUGCUGGUAUUUGAAUACUGGUGACAUAGCACCCACUGUCACAGCAACUGCGAGCCCUCACGGUGAAUAAAGGCCAAUUAUUGUACCUUGGAUAUUGACUUGCAAGCUUUUAAGACCCAGGCACAACUCAGUGAACUAGAAGAUAGAACAGAAGCGCCAAACAGAAUAUUAAGCCAAUUAACUGGGAUGCCCUAUGAAAGCAAGACCCUAAACCUCUGAACCAAAAAACCAAAUCUCUUGAGGUACUUACCAGCUAUACCCUGCCUCCUGCUCCUCCCUGGUGCUGGGCUCUGAGAUGGGUAAGUGCCUCCUGCUGCUGCUCCUGGGCCUCUCUUUGCUGCUGGGCUUCCUGCAAGGUGAGCUCCUGGAGAGGGAGAUGGAGCUGGACACGUUUAAGAGUACAGCUCUGAAAUGUUACAAAUGUCAUUUUAUCGGUUUUAAUGGGACUUGCUGGACUAAGAGAACCAUCUGCCAAGCUCAAAAGGACCAGCAGUGUGUUCUGAAGAAGUUCUAUGGAGGUAACAAGUUUAUAUUUGGAACCCAGACAUGUGGGACUACGUGCAACCCCACGACCAUAGUCUAUCGAGAUGAGUACACCUAUUUCUCAUGCUGUAAAGACAAUCUCUGUAACAAGUUUUAGAGGAUUGACCCUUGAUCGUGAGCCUCAGCCCUCCAGUUCAGCCCUUCUCUGUUCUCAGCCUCAAAGGACCGGGCUUUCUUUCUGCUGCAUUGUCCAAGCCCUGAAGCCAGCUCCUGCUCAGCUACAAGUGCUCAAGUUUCAACAGCUCCACGCAUCUGAUAGGUGCUUUCUUCUUUCCACCAUCCAUAGUGCUCUGCCCUAUCUUGGAUUUUAGUCUCCUUUCCUUCAUUUAUUCCUCCCACUCCUGCCUCCCAUCCUCCCUCUCCUCAAUCCUUUCUUUCUUCAACAAACAUUUCCUGACUGCUGAGCACUGUAACUAGGUGGUGAAUGUACAACAGUGAAUAAGACAGAAAUAAGACAGAAAAGAUCCCUCUUCUCAACACAUCUUUAGUACUCCUUUUCUGCCAGGCUGGCCAGGAUUACUAUGGUCCCAGCGCUCGCUACCCUUCUAUUUAUAGAAUUUAGGGCUUGAAAGAACUCCUUUGCCAUCCCUUCCAUCAUACACACACACACACACACACGCAUGCACGCAUGUGCUCUUCCUCUCUCUCACUGAUACAAAUUUCAUCAGUCUUUUCCCCUUUGCUCAUUUUUGCUUUUUUCCUAAGACAUCCCUUAGAUUUUGGGGUUGGUGUCACUGUAAUUUUUGUUUUAAUUACAUGAGCAAUAUGAAUGUUUAAUUUAAGAAAUGUUAAAAUAAAAAAGUAGACAUCAUUAGUAGUCUUAUCCUGUGCACUUGCAUAUACAUUUUUAGUGUAUUGAUUUCUUUUUUUAUUAUGAUAUUUUAUUGUGUUUUUGGUGAAAGUUCAAACAGCAAAUUAGGUUCCCAUUUAACAAUUUCCAUACUUGUUCUUCAGUGACAUUGGUUACGUUCUUUACAAUGUGUCAACAUUCUCAUUAUUUCCUUUCUGGUUGUUCCAUUUCCAUUAAUCUAGAUUCACUGCUCUGCCUUACUUUCUCAUCUUUGCUUUAGUGUAAAUUUGACUUUUGGUCUCAUAUAGAUGAUUUUUUAAAGGAGCACAGUACUCACGGGUGAUAUUAUUUAUUUUAUGAAUCAAUCUGUUAUUUAGCUGAAAGGUGACCUCUGGGUAUGGUUUCAGUACAAACUUCAAAGGGUAUUUCAGGGCAAUAGUCUUGGGGGCCCCUCUGGUCUCUACUGGUCAAGUAAGUCUGGUCUUUUUUAAGAAUUUGAGUUUUGUUCUACAUUUUUCUCCCAUUCUAUCUGGGACAUUCUGUUGUGUCCUUGGUCAGAAUAGUCAGUGGUAGUAGGAUAGAACUGAUGUGGUUCAUGCAGGCUAUUAGUUUAUAGACUAGUUUCUUUGAGUCUUUGUUUUCCUUCUUUAUCUUUUGCUCCAGAUGAGUAGAGAUCAAUAGUUGUAUCUUAGAUGGCCACUCACAAGCUUUUAAGAUCCCAGAUGCUACUCACCAAACUAGGAUGUAGAACAUAAACUGUGUUAUGCCAAUUGACUGAGUUGUUGCACGAGACUUCAGUCCUAAGCCUUCAAAUCCAGUAAACCAAUCUCACAAGGUGUUUGGUUAUGUCUAGGAAGUAUCUGCAACUGUGCCUCCUAUGUGUUUUAUUAUAUAUAUGAAUAUAUAUGCAGUACGCACAUACAUGUAUAUACUCAUGCCUACAGAUAUGCGUACACAUACACCCUUAUAUACACAUCUAUACAUUCAUAACAAAUCUGUCUUAGAAGAAGUACAAUUAAAAUGCUCCUUAGAAGCAAGGAUGGCGAAACUACAUCUUACAUACUUUGGACAUAUUAUCAGGAGGGUUCAGUCCCUAGAGAAGGACAUCAUGUUUGGUAGAGGGUCGGUGGAAAAGAGGAAGACUCUCAAUGAGAUGUAUUGACACAGUGGUUGCAACAAUUGGCUCAAGCAUAACAACAAUAGUGAGGAUGGUGCAGACCAGGCAGUGUUUUGUUCUGUUGUAUAAAGGGUUGCCGUGAGUCGGGACUGACUUGAUGGCACCUAAUAACAACAACAUACCUUCAUAUACACAUAUAUGUACACUUAUCUACCUAUGUAACCACAAACACAUUUUUUGGUUGUUAUUGCUGUUGUUGUAAACUUGUACAUGGUAUAGCAUUUACCAAAAACGUCCUUUAUUUUUGUGUACUUCUUAGUAUCAUCAUUCACCCAUAUUUGGUAUUGCCUUAAACAUCCUUUAUUUUUGUGUGCUUCUUAGUAUCAUCAUUCACCCAUAUUUGGUAUUGCCUUCACCAUCACUCAAAAUAACAAGCAUCUACUACCCAGAAAGUGAUUGCCCCUCCCUCGCCCUCCAAUCCCUGGUAACCACCAAUGAAUGCUGGUUUCUGUAUAUAUACCUAUUAACGGCUUCUUAUAAGAGCAUGAUCAAACAAUAUUUGUCCUUUUGGGGUUGACUUAUUUCACUAAGCAUAAUGUCCUCCAGGUUCAUCCAUGUUAUAUUUUGAGAACUCAUCAUUAUUCUUUAUAGCUGCAAAGAAUUCCACUGUAUGUAUGUACCGCAUUUUGUUUAUUCAUUCAUCCAUUGAUGGGCAUUUAGGUUGUUUCCAUCUUUUUGCUAUUGUCACUAAUGCUGCAGUGAACAUAGGUGUGCAUAUGUCUAUUUGUGUCAUUGCUAUUAGAUCUCUAGGGUAGCUACCUAGAAGUGAGAUUGCUGCAUCAUAAGGUAUUUGUAUUUCUAGCUUUUUGAGGAAGUGUCAUACCAUUUUUCAUAGUAGUUGUACUGUUUGACAAUCCAUUUGCAGUGGAUAAGGGUUCUAAUCUCCCCAAAACCUUAUCAGUAUUUGUUUAUGUCUUUUUUUUUUUUUUAAUCAUUGCCAUUUUUGCAGGUAGGCUUAUUGAUUUCUAACAAAAAAUGCCUGAUGAAAUUUUGAUUGGAAUUAAUGCUAUACAUUUCCUUGAAGCACUGUUGAUCUGCAUCCCAGAAAUUUUGAAACCACUCAAACACAACAAUGAGAAACAAGAGUGCAUACUUUACCUUGGAGGAAACAAAGCACCUGUAACACCACAAUAGAACGCAUGAAGGUGGAAAUCCAAUGAAGGAGUGAGAAAUGACUUACAGAGCAGGAGAUGUGGAAAUGAGCUGAGAAAUUGAUUCCCAGAGCUCUAGACGUGGUCUCCAAGCAGAGCGAGAGGCAGGAUAAAGUGCCAGACAGGAAAUGGGGAUGAAGAGAAUGUCUGAAUGUUGAGGUCCUUAUUUUCCAUCUUCCUACAUGCUCCCUGAAUGCUGGAGACAUUCCUUCCCCCACAUUUUUUUUUGGUUGGAGAAUCUUUCUAUGGAGAAAAUGACCACUGCAAAAUAAGAGAACUAUAAGCACUGAUACCUGUGACUCCUUCCAUGAAAGGUCAGCUCAAAAAACCUCUGACCUUGCACAUAGAGAUUCCUGUCAGCUUUUUAGUUGUUGUUGUUGUUAGUUGCCAUGGAGUUGAUUCAGACUCAUGAUGGCCCUAUGUAUGCAGAGAACUGCUCUAUUGGGUUUUCAACACUGUUGACUUUUUAGAAGCAGAUUACCAGGCCUGUCUUUAGAGGUGCUUAUGGGUAGGUUGGAAGUGUCACCUUUCAGCUAGUAGUAGAGCACUUAAUCCUUUGCACCACCCAGGGACUCCCAGCAUUUUACUACCUCAGUAGUAAAUAGUAGGAUCAUGAGA